UGCGGUUAUACAAAUAAUAUAAUUUAAUUUUAUUAGUAAAAAUUAAUUGAUUGAUUUAAAUUUUAAAUUAAAAUUUUUUAGGUAAAAUUUUAAAUUUUAAUUAUAUUUAUGUUAUUAAAUGAAGUUUAGAAAUUUAAUUUAUAAACUAGGAUUAGAUACCCUAUUAUUUUAAACGUAAUUUUAUUUAUUUAAUUAUUAAAAGUUAUGUUCUUUAAAAUUAAAAAUUUUGGCGGUAUUUUAGUCUUUUCAGAGGAACCUGUUUUGUAAAUGAUAAUCCACGAUUUAAUUUAUUUUUAUUAUUAAUUUGUAUAUCAUCGUAAUUAAGUAUUUUAUUAGAAUUAUUAAUAUUUAAAGUUUUUUAUAAAAAAAUUAGUCAGAUCAAGGUGCAAUUUAUAUAAAAGUAGUAAUGGGUUACAAUAAAUUUAUUUUUGGAUAAUUUUUAUUAUUAAAAAUUUGAAUUUGGAUUUGAUAGUAAGUUUAAUUAAUUUAUUAAAUUGAUUUGGCUCUAAAAUAUGC
rnacentral:rRNA from 1 species